rnacentral:rRNA from 1 species
GAUGAACGCUGGCGGCGUGCUUAACACAUGCAAGUCGAACGGAGGACCCUUGACGGAGUUUUCGGACAACGGAUAGGAAUCCUUAGUGGCGGACGGGUGAGUAACGCGUGAGGAACCUGCCUUGGAGAGGGGAAUAACACAGAGAAAUUUGUGCUAAUACCGCAUGAUGCAGUUGGGUCGCAUGGCUCUGACUGCCAAAGAUUUAUCGCUCUGAGAUGGCCUCGCGUCUGAUUAGCUAGUUGGUAGGGUAACGGCCUACCAAGGCGACGAUCAGUAGCCGGACUGAGGGGUUGACCAGCCACAUUGGGACUGAGACACGGCCCAGACUCCUACGGGAGGCAGCAGUGGGGAAUAUUGGGCAAUGGGCGCAAGCCUGACCCAGCAACGCCGCGUGAAGGAAGAAGGCUUUCGGGUUGUAAACUUCUUUUAUGAGGGACGAAGGAAGUGACGGUACCUCAUGAAUAAGCUCCGGCUAACUACGUGCCAGCAGCCGCGGUAA